rnacentral:rRNA from 1 species
GAUGAACGCUGGCGGCGUGCCUAAUACAUGCAAGUCGAGCGAACAGACGAGGAGCUUGCUCCUCUGACGUUAGCGGCGGACGGGUGAGUAACACGUGGAUAACCUACCUAUAAGACUGGGAUAACUUCGGGAAACCGGAGCUAAUACCGGAUAAUAUAUUGAACCGCAUGGUUCAAUAGUGAAAGACGGUUUUGCUGUCACUUAUAGAUGGAUCCGCGCCGCAUUAGCUAGUUGGUAAGGUAACGGCUUACCAAGGCGACGAUGCGUAGCCGACCUGAGAGGGUGAUCGGCCACACUGGAACUGAGACACGGUCCAGACUCCUACGGGAGGCAGCAGUAGGGAAUCUUCCGCAAUGGGCGAAAGCCUGACGGAGCAACGCCGCGUGAGUGAUGAAGGUCUUCGGAUCGUAAAACUCUGUUAUUAGGGAAGAACAAAUGUGUAAGUAACUAUGCACGUCUUGACGGUACCGAAUCAGAAAGCCACGGCUAACUACGG